UACGUAGGGGGCAAGCGUUGUCCGGAUUUAUUGGGCGUAAAGAGCGUGUAGGCGGCUAGGUAGGUCCGUUGUGAAAACUCGAGGCUCAACCUCGAGACGUCGAUGGAAACCAUCUAGCUAGAGUCCGGAAGAGGAGAGUGGAAUUCCUGGUGUAGCGGUGAAAUGCGCAGAUAUCAGGAGGAACACCAAUGGCGAAGGCAGCUAACUACGCGAUAAUUGACGCUGAUGCACGAAAGCGUGGGGAUCAAACAGG
rnacentral:rRNA from 1 species